rnacentral:rRNA from 1 species
AAUCUUCCACAAUGGGCGAAAGCCUGAUGGAGCGACGCCGCGUGAGGGAUGAAGGCCUUAGGAUUGUAAACCUCUAAAAGAGGGACGAUAAUGACGGUACCUCUUGAAUAGCACCGGCUAACUCCGUGCCAGCAGCCGCGGUAAUACGGAGGGUGCAAGCGUUAUCCGGAUUCACAGGGUUUAAAUGGUGCGUAGGUGGGCAGAUAAGUCAGUGGUGAAAUCUUCCGGCUUAACCGGGAAUCUGCCGUUGAUACUAUUUGUCUUGAAUAUUGCGGAGGUAAGCGGAAUAUGUCAUGUAGCGGUGAAAUGAUUAGAUAUGACAUAGAACACCAAUUGCGAAGGCAGCUUACUACACAAUCAUUGACACUGAGGCACGAAAGCGUGGGUAG